CUCCAUAAGUUUAAAAAAAAUGACAUGAACUAAAUGUAAUUGGCUAUACUAAAUGAAACAAAAGUAUGGCUUUUAGAAACGAAUUCAAAGUAAGUCCCUGACAUUUUGAGUGGCUGGUGGCUUCCUAUCUUCACAGCCAUCCCGAGUUGAUAGAGGUGUAAUGAUUUCUACCGAAGCAUCCUGCCUUUCUUACUUGAAAACACCAUGUGAAAAGUUAUCUGUAAAGCAGGCUUUAAAACUUUGUAAAAACCUAUCCAAAGCUAACAUUCUACAGUGUCGUUGGUUGGAAAAUGGCAGCAAUGACCUAGAAGACUUGGCAGUAAAACAACUUUCAAAGUGUGGCGAUCUAGGGAGACGAGCUUCAACCAUGUGUGUGAGUGGCAUCACCUUCAGUACAGUAAGUACAGUACCGGGCCUGCCUCACCAUGGUCUAGCCUGGUCUACCCGAUCCUCCCUUCCAUGCAGCCUGCCUCAACCCCUACAUCCAGACACUAGAAUAAGGAAAGACAUCCCAUGUUCAUGGAUUGGAAGAAUGAACACUGUGAAAAUGACCAUCUUCUAAAAAGCUACUUGCGGAUUCAACAAAAUCCCAAUCAAAAUCCAAUGCCGCUCUUCACUGAGACAGAAAAACAAAACAAAACAAACGACCAAACUAUCCUGAAAUUCGAAUGGAACCAAAAAUGACCCCAGAUAGUGUAAAAAAAAAAAAAAAAAA
rnacentral:lncRNA from 1 species